rnacentral:lncRNA from 1 species
GCAAUGGUGUGCUUUAGGACCAUGUGGAUGCCUCUGAGCGGUCAGGUAGGCUGUUUGGAGUGUUAUAAUAUAUAUGUCCACUUCUAAAACCAAAGUUGUCCCCCCCCCCUGACAUUUUCAAUUAUAUAAUAUGUGAAAGUAUAGCUUACAAAUCAAAGCAAUAUACUGACUUUUCAUGAGGUCUAAAAAGCUUGAAAGGAAAAUAAGGUAUCUCAGUUUAAACUGAGUCUAGUUUGUUUGUCUCUGCUUGGGGUUAACUCUGACUGGGCUGGAGCAGACUGCUACUAGACAGAGACAGACACUCACUGUGCUGCUGCUGGGAACAGAAGAGGAGUUUCCAAGAUCUGACGCAGUAUGUAUUUCAGAGUGUUCACUCUGACGAAGAGAAGAAGAAGAGAUGUGCUGGGAACCUCCUUCCUCUCCUUCCUCUCCCUCCUCUCCCUCCUCCUCCGUCCUACCAGGAAUGGACCAGGAUCGACCCAGAUGAUUCAGAGGUCCCUAGCCUGGCCCUGGAAGGGCUUGGGCUGAGGACCAUACCCUCUGCUGGAAACACAGAAAUAUGUAGCAAGACUCCUGAGCCUUUAUCCAUAGAAGAUGUGUGUCAACGCAACCCUUCAGGGGUGAUAAAUUGUGGAUAUAAGCUUUGGAGGAAUUAUGACGAGGAGACAGCCUAUUGA